ACUGUUUUCCUCUAGGCAUUUUUAUUUGCCCUAAACGACAGCACCGCACGACCCACUCCUCUCUUCAACCCUCGAUCCUCCUCACGCGCGUAGGGUUCCACGAGAGAUAGGUAGCGCCGUCGCCGUUCGACUCCUCCUCCCACCCUCCCCUACACAACGGAUGCACACCUACCUAUGGCUGCCCCUUCUUCCGCCAUGGCCGGUGAUUCCCACAGAGACGCGUACCAGCUAUGCGGGAGCAGGCAGCGGUGAUUCUUUGUCCCGCGCUCGUGAUGCUCCACAAGUGGAAUCUGCCCGUGAAGGAGACUUGUGGAAUCUACCCGUGAAGGAGAUGGCGCAGGUGCGGGGAGGUGACCAGGUGGCCAUGCUACAUGAGGCGGUCGAGUCAGAGGAUGCGAGUCGAUGCAUCCACGAACGCCGCGAGCUGAUGCUUGAGGCGGUCAAGUCUGAGGUUGUGUUUUGUAAAAUGGCAUAGUCGUCGGUCUCUUUGGCGAGGUCUCUUUCGAUUAACUUCACAGUGGCAGCCGCCGCAGUGCAUGUCCCAAGUCUCAGCCCCCAUCUCUAUGUCGUGUUCUUGCAUAUCAAGAAGCAGGAACGGCUAUACUAAAGGCCAUCAAUUUCCAUGUCUUCCAGACCUUAACCAAGCAUCACUGAUGAGGGAAGAUGCCACUUCCUUGGCUCAAACUGCAGGAUUUAGAUCCACCUCUUGAUGGGGCUAAUUAUGAAAUAAAAUGAAUGAGGAAAUUUCCUUAGUUAUUGAACUGAGUUAACCUACACGUAUGUAUAUGACAGGAGUAAUGACUAAUGAGGUAACCUAUCUCAUGUGACUUUCUUGCCUUUUCAAUUGCUGGUUUCAAUUCCUUGGCUGUAGCUACCUUAAUUUUUCAGAAGACCAUUAGCUAUCUUGGUUUGAAGGUGUAUCAUGUUUAUGUAUUGCUUUAUUAUUUCCACAAGUUAAGUAGCAGUAGGUAGCUUGGUUUUUACUUGAAUUUCCUUGACAUAAUAUUUGGUGCUUCUCCUCAUCAUUUAGACAGCAAGAGAACAAUGACUUGCAUACAUGAAGGCUAUCUCCAACAUUGCUUGAUUUGCAGUUUAUUCCCAGGUGCAAACUUUACCAAAAUGUACCACAAUACAAAUGGUUUAUUGCCUCAUUAUUUUCUUGGAGCGUUGAUUAUUUUCUUGGAGCGUUGUACAUUUACUUUUGCAAUUGGGAAGCGAAAUCUAAAUUUCAGUUUCAGUUUUAUGGUGCAGGCUUGAAACAGUGGCAUAUAGUAUUAUCUUACAGAACAAUAGAUGAUUCCGCUUUCAGAGAGCUGAUCAUACCUAUCUUGCUCGAUUUGAUGUUGUUCCGUGUGUUACUUUGUACCUCUCGACACAAUGAAUAUGAAGGAGAGGCACUCCAAGAGUUCAUGUUUAAUUACAAGAUCUAUAGCUAUUUCGUUUACAUUAGGAGCAGUACCAAUCUGUUUCUAAUUUAGGUUAAACUAGGAACAUCUAUGGAAGGAUAAAUUUUAGUAUUUGAUCCUUCUAUUGACAAGUCGUAUAACUUAUGAUAUUAUAGAGUUUAGAGAUGCUUAUCCUGUUCUAUAUGGCUUAAGUUAUAUCAGUAGUUAUGUACUGUAGUUUUGCCGAGAUAGGAUACAUUAUAUGGAAAUAAGAUGUAUGCAAAAACUUUGCAGGAAGUGCUUGUAUAUUGGAGGAAGCCAAAAUGUUAGAGAACUCA